rnacentral:misc_RNA from 1 species
UGUUAACAGACUCCACAGAUUCCGUGGUUAGUUUGGCUGUGGGGGAGGUACUAGUUAUGAUUUGGACAGCCAUUGUCAACAGAGAUCCUCCUUCUGUGCCCUUCUCCUCUUGCCUAGAAGUGAUCACUAAGGGCCUUGAUUCGAGUCCAUCAGGAAGAAUUGAAAAUCCUGAAGGUAAUACUGCUACGUUGCUUGAAUCACAUCCAGUAAUCACAGACUGCAUUCCAUUAAUAUCCACAGGAGCAUAGACUACCACGGAUUCAUAAGCAUUUGUGCAGCAAUCUUGGAGUACCCACAUAGGAUUCUCUUUUGAUUUCAUUGUUUGUAUAGUUACUGCAUUGCCUCUAUCUUGUCCUUUGGCUAAGUUUGCAAUGGAUUGUACUGGACUUCCAUUUGAUAUGAUAUCCCACUCAUUUCUAUGUGUUUCAUCUCGCAAGAAAUCGAAGAGGACAGGAGGAGACACUGGCAACCAUGCAGAAGAAACUACACACAAGAUCACUCCAAUGGGUUCACUGGGGUCAUUUAAGUUCUUCCUGGA